rnacentral:rRNA from 1 species
GACGAACGCUGGCGGCGUGCUUAACACAUGCAAGUCGAACGGAAAGGCCCUGCUUUUGUGGGGUGCUCGAGUGGCGAACGGGUGAGUAACACGUGAGUAACCUGCCCUUGACUUUGGGAUAACUUCAGGAAACUGGGGCUAAUACCGGAUAGGAGCUCCUGCUGCAUGGUGGGGGUUGGAAAGUUUCGGCGGUUGGGGAUGGACUCGCGGCUUAUCAGCUUGUUGGUGGGGUAGUGGCUUACCAAGGCUUUGACGGGUAGCCGGCCUGAGAGGGUGACCGGCCACAUUGGGACUGAGAUACGGCCCAGACUCCUACGUGAGACAACAGUGGGGAAUAUUGCACAAUGGGAGGAAGCCUGAUGCAGCAACGCCGCGUGCGGGAUGACGGCCUUCGGGUUGUAAACCGCUUUCGCCUGUGACGAAGCGUGAGUGACGGUAAUGGGUAAAGAAGCACCGGCUAACUACGUG